rnacentral:miRNA from 1 species
AGAACAUGAUGAUGAUGAUGUUGUUGUUGAUGAAGAUGCAUCAUCUACCAACUCCAAAGAAGAUGUCGAUCGGUCGGAAACCGAUAUGGAUGAUGUGGUGUCGUACGCAUACCCAUUAUCGUCAUCAUCACCAUCAUCAUCAUGUCCU